UCCUUGCUCACGUGCAAGAGUACAGCACUGAUGUGGACUCUUGGAGGAUGAAACAGAGGACAGCAUCAGGUUAGUACAAUCACCUCUGCUGCACCCCAAACAGCGAUGUUACUAUCGGGGGUCUUUGCAAAAUCUGCAAAAACCCAGAACGGGAAAGAGACACUUUAAUCGUCUUUCUAUUCAGUUAUACAUUUGAUUACUAAAACUAAAUGUUAUCAGUCUGAG